GCUCCUCCGUCCCCUGGGCAUCUCUGGGCCUUACUGUCUUGUGGAGGCCGCGGGCAGCUACCCCUGCCUGGAGCCACCCGCGGUGAGCCACUGAGAGCCCUGUGACAGAAGAGAGAGACCCAAAAUCCGACCCCGCUCCCUACUGUGCUGUGGAAGGACCAAAUGUCCUUUCCGCACCGCGCUGCAGAGAUGCCUUGAAGGGUUUUAGGGCCACAACCGGCCUUUUAUUUUGGGCUAGUUCUGGUUUGUUUCUUGGGGUGGGUUGUUUGUUUUUCACUUUGUUUUGUUUUUCUUUUAGCUGCUCCUGCUCUCUUCCACCGCGGCCCCUCUAGCCACCGGCCCCUGCCGCGAAAGCGAUAGAAAUUUGAGAGAAGCUGCAGCCAGCCUUCAGUAACAGAUAGCUUUGUCCUAAUGAAAAGAAAGAGCUCAGUAGGUGACUUUGGUUUCCUGCACACACAAGAAAUGAGCUUGGUGUAUGAAGCAGGUUUAUGGACCUUCUAAAGCAGACUGGAAAAGGAGAGAAACUUUUAUGUUCUCAUCUUUUUCCUUUUCAAAAUUAGUAGAUGGUACUGAAAAUAACAAAGUGCAAAAAAAUGUUCUGGAAUAACUGUGGGGGUUAUGUGAGUUUGCAAUAAGCGAAACUGUUACUACUUCAUUACCUAUCUGGAAGAAAAAGAAAAUGGGUAAACUACAAAUGCUGAGAGUGGUGUGGCUAUCGAGUCAUUGUCAUUACCAUGUUGGCAAAGAAAAUAAGUCAGACAACUGCCACCAGUUAAUUUCAGGCAGUCAUUUGAAACAAGAGACUGGAGUUCUAGAUCUUUUGAUUUAAACAACUUUUUAGAAGCCUAAUUAAAUAUUAUGUGUCAUAGUCAAACUUACUGUAUUUGGUUAUUUUGCAUAUUUCAAAGGUUUUAAUCAAUAAUUGGCUUCUAUCUCAGUACUGCUUCUGUCAAAAUUGAUGAUUCUUGACACUCAUGGUGUGGUCAACAGUUAAAUGCAGGAAAAGAGAAAUUAGUCAUUUCUGACCAGGGUGAUAUAUUGUUUAUUCACUUCUCCAUACCCAGCAGGAACACUGAGGAGAUGAGUCCACAUCAGUCAUGGUGGGAAAGAGCUUUAAAGACUACAGUGAGUUACACAUAUGUACAAAUUUGUAACAUGUUCCCUUGAACAAGCUGCUUUAAUCAUCUGUUUAUUUCUAAAUCAAAAUUAGCAGUUGUUUUGCUAGCAUUAAUAUCCAACGCAUUUCCAGCCUUCUUGUUCUAGACAGAAAUGGGAGCCUUUUUUCCACCUUUCACAAGAAAUGGGAGCCUGUGAUUGACCCAUCCAGCCACUGGAUGUCACACAAAUGCAGACGAAAGGAUAUCUUAGCUACUCAUCCUAAUUUUACAGACACCUAGUUCAGUACUAUUUUAUAAAUUAUGAGGUGACGCUAUACAAGUAAACUGAAAAAAUUAUUACACUGAAUAAACUGUAACUUAAGCUUUUUCAUAUGAUAGCUGAAAGUACAUCUGCUGACAUUGUGGCAGAGCAGAGGCAGGCCAGGUAAAUGGGAGACACCUUGGACAUCUACACCCAGCUGUCAAACACUGUGGCUUGCAAGAAAAGUAGGAUUCAGCAAUAGGAGCAUGAUGCUUUAUACAGAGUGCAUUUGUGAAUGUUUUUAUGUGAUUCUAAAUGAGUUUGAUACUUACAGAAACUUUGGUUACAAUUUCCUCUUCCUUCUUUCCCAGAAACUCACACAGAAGCUUUCUUUAGGAAGAAAAGAACCAAAAUAAACAGUACUCUAAAUGUG